GGUUAAGCGACUAAGCGUACACGGUGGAUGCCCUGGCAGUCAGAGGCGAUGAAGGACGUGCUAAUCUGCGAUAAGCGCCGGUAAGGUGAUAUGAACCGUUAUAACCGGCGAUUUCCGAAUGGGGAAACCCAGUGUGAUUCGUCACACUAUCAUUAACUGAAUCCAUAGGUUAAUGAGGCGAACCGGGGGAACUGAAACAUCUAAGUACCCCGAGGAAAAGAAAUCAACCGAGAUUCCCCCAGUAGCGGCGAGCGAACGGGGAGGAGCCCAGAGCCUGAAUCAGCAUGUGUGUUAGUGGAAGCGUCUGGAAAGGCGCGCGAUACAGGGUGACAGCCCCGUACACAAAAGCGCAUGUGCUGUGAGCUCGAUGAGUAGGGCGGGACACGUGGUAUCCUGUCUGAAUAUGGGGGGACCAUCCUCCAAGGCUAAAUACUCCUGACUGACCGAUAGUGAACCAGUACCGUGAGGGAAAGGCGAAAAGAACCCCGGCGAGGGGAGUGAAAAAGAACCUGAAACCGUGUACGUACAAGCAGUGGGAGCACCCUUCGGGGUGUGACUGCGUACCUUUUGUAUAAUGGGUCAGCGACUUAUAUUCUGUAGCAAGGUUAACCGUAUAGGGGAGCCGGAGGGAAACCGAGUCUUAAC
rnacentral:rRNA from 1 species